AUUUCCUGUUGACUUCUACUUCCCUUCAGCUGGUUCAGGGCCAGCAACCGUGGGGCCUGCUGUUGGUCUGAUCGGCGAAGCCCUGGACACAGGAGCAGGGUGCUCGGGGGUGUGCUACGGGGUGAGAUCAGACCCGAGAGUCACGCUACGAACGGGCGCCCGGACACACGGACACUCGAAGGACCUCGGUGGCUGAAAGACGCGGAGGCCAGAGGGUAUCACCCCCAAACCCCCUCCUUGGGGCGUCACUUCCCGUACCCGCUCAGCU
rnacentral:lncRNA from 1 species